rnacentral:rRNA from 1 species
AACGAACGCUGGCGGCAUGCCUAACACAUGCAAGUCGAACGAGACCUUCGGGUCUAGUGGCGCACGGGUGCGUAACGCGUGGGAACCUGCCCUUAGGUUCGGAAUAACUCCCCGAAAGGGGUGCUAAUACCGGAUAAUUUCUUCGGACCAAAGAUUUAUCGCCUUAGGAUGGGCCCGCGUUGGAUUAGCUAGUUGGUAUGGUAAAAGCCUACCAAGGCGACGAUCCAUAGCUGGGCUGAGAGGAUGAUCAGCCACACUGGGACUGAGACACGGCCCAGACUCCUACGGGAGGCAGGAGUGGGGAAUAUUGGACAAUGGGCGAAAGCCUGAUCCAGCAAUGCCGCGUGAGUGAUGAAGGCCUUAGGGUUGUAAAGCUCUUUUACACGGGAUGAUAAUGACAGUACCGGGAGAAUAAGCACCGGCUAACUCCGUG